rnacentral:rRNA from 1 species
GACGAACGCUGGCGGCGUGCCUAAUACAUGCAAGUUGAGCGAUGAAGAUUGGUGCUUGCACCAAUUUGAAGAGCAGCGAACGGGUGAGUAACGCGUGGGGAAUCUGCCUUUGAGCGGGGGACAACAUUUGGAAACGAAUGCUAAUACCGCAUAACAACUUUAAACAUAAGUUUUAAGUUUGAAAGAUGCAAUUGCAUCACUCAAAGAUGAUCCCGCGUUGUAUUAGCUAGUUGGUGAGGUAAAGGCUCACCAAGGCGAUGAUACAUAACCGACCUGAGAGGGUGAUCGGCCACAUUGGGACUGAGACACGGCCCAAACUCCUACGGGAGGCAGCAGUAGGGAAUCUUCGGCAAUGGACGAAAGUCUGACCGAGCAACGCCGCGGGAGUGAAGAAGGUUUUCGGAUCGUAAAACUCUGUUGGUAGAGAAGAACGUUGGUGAGAGUGGAAAGCUCAUCAAGUGACGGUAACUACCCAGAAAGGGACGGCUAACUACGUG